UACGGAGGAUGCGAGCGUUAUCCGGAUUUAUUGGGUUUAAAGGGUGCGUAGGUGGUUGAUUAAGUCAGCGGUGAAAAGGAGGCGCUCAACGCCUCACCUGCCGUUGAAACUGGUUAACUUGAGGGUAGACGAGGCAGGCGGAAUUCGUAGUGUAGCGGUGAAAUGCAUAGAUAUUACGAAGAACCCCGAUAGCGCAGGCAGCUUGCCAGGCUACGACUGACACUGAAGCACGAAAGUGCGGGGAUCAAACAGGAUUAGAUACCCUGGUAGUCCGCACAGUAAACGAUGAUUACUCGCUGUUUGCGAUACACAGUAAGCGGCCAAGCGAAAGCGAUAAGUAAUCCACCUGGGGAGUACGCCGGCAACGGUGAAACUCAAAGGAAUUGACGGGGGCCCGCACAAGCGGAGGAACAUGUGGUUUAAUUCGAUGAUACGCGAGGAACCUUACCCGGGCUCGAACGGCAGUGGAAUAAUAAUGAAAGUUAUUAGCUAGCAAUAGUCGCUGUCGAGGUGCUGCAUGGUUGUCGUCAGCUCGUGCCGUGAGGUGUCGGCUUAAGUGCCAUAACGAGCGCAACCCCUACCGUCAGUUACCAGCAGGUCAAGCUGGGGACUCUGGCGGGACUGCCGCCGUAAGGUGAGAGGAAGGUGGGGAUGACGUCAAAUCAGCACGGCCCUUACGUCCGGGGCGACACACGUGUUACAAUGGGGGGGACAGAAGGCGGCUACCUGGCGACAGGAUGCGAAUCCCGAAACCCUUUCCCAGUUCGGACCGGAGUCUGCAACCCGACUCCGCGAAGCCGGAUUCGCUAGUAAUCGCGCAUCAGCCAUGGCGCGGUGAAUACUUUCCCGGGCCUU
rnacentral:rRNA from 1 species